CUAGCAGUAUCAGAGUUUGAUCCUGGCUCAGGAUGAACGCUAGCGGCAGGCUUAAUACAUGCAAGUCGAGGGGCAUCAGCUUAUAGCAAUAUAGGGCUGGCGACCGGCAAACGGGUGCGGAACACGUACACAACCUUCCUUUAAGAGGGGGAUAGCCCAUAGAAAUGUGGAUUAAUACCCCGUAAGAUAGUGGGAUGGCAUCAUACUACUAUUAUAGUUACGACGCUUGAAGAUGGGUGUGCGUCUGAUUAGGUAGUUGGCGGGGUAAAGGCCCACCAAGCCUUCGAUCAGUAGCUGAUGUGAGAGCAUGAUCAGCCACACGGGCACUGAGACACGGGCCCG
rnacentral:rRNA from 1 species